UUGACUAUAAUUGGGGCCAGGCACAGUGGCUCACGCCUGUAAUCCCAGCACUUUGGGAGGCCGAGGCGGGCGGAUCACCUGAGGUCAGGAGUUUGAGACCAGCCUGACCAAAAUGGAGAAACCGCGUCUCUACUAAAAAUACAAAAAUUAGCCGGGCAUGGUGGUGCACGCCUGUAAUCCCAGUUACUCGGGAGGCUGAGGCAGGAGAAUUGCUUGAACCCAGGAGACGGAGGUUGUGGUGAGCCGAGAUGGUGCCAUUCAUUGCACUCCAGCCUGAACAACAAGAGCUAAACUCCGUCUCAAAAAAAAAAAAAAAAAAUGGAAGGAAAGAAAGAAUUGACUAUAAUGCACAAAGCCGCUUAGCAGAGCUUCGAGCAUGGUAAAUAAUAAAUGCCAACUCCUGUAGCUGGCGGCUUCACUGACCCUGAGUAAGGAGAGGACUCCUCCUUCAAUAAAUAAAUCAUGAUCUGCUCUCAGAGAUCGACCUGACAGUUAAGUCAAGACUUAAGGAAUAACAAAAACUAGGGAAAAAAAGACCCAUCUGAAGUAAGAACAAAAUAAUUGGUGCUAAUUAAGGUGGCUAAGCCAGGUUGGAGACAGGGAGAUGUAGCCAGCCUUAGGAAGGAAGGAAGGAGACGACGAUAGGGGAAAACAAGGGAACUGAGCAAGGUAAAGAAAAAUAAGAAUAAUAAAGACCAGAGCAGGUCGGCGCGGUGGCUCACACCUGUAAUCCCAGCACUUUGGGAGGCCGCGGCGGGCGGAUCACGAGGUCAGGAGUUUGAGACCAGCCUGGCCAACAUAGUGAAACUCCAUCUCUACUAAAAAUACAAAAAUUAGCUGGGCGUUCUGGCGGGCGCCUGCAAUCCUAGCUACUUGGGAGGCUGAGGCAGGAGAAUCGCUUGAACCCGGGAGGCGGAGGUUGCAGUGAGCCGAGAUCGCGCCACCGCACUCCAGCCAGGGCGACAGUGUGAGACUCCGUCUCAAACAAACAAACAACAAAAAAGAGCAGAGCAAAUAUUGAACUCUAAAAGAGAAGAAAAAGAAACCAGCAGAAGUGUUAGAUAGGUAGGACCCAAGGAAUACACAUUGUUAAAAGAAAAGAUUUCCCAGGGCCACCGGACACCAGCGCGUGAGAAUCCGGAGGCAGGGAGGCGACCCGGUUCCCGAAACCUACGCGGCUGCGGGAGGCCCAGGAGCCCCACGCGAACCUGUCCGCACAGCCCAGCGGCUAGGUUCACAGAACGCAGACGCUGGAGCCUGUCGCCCAAGCAACGGCCCCGCCCCGCCCACGGGAGGCGCCGGUGAUUGGCCGCAGCCUCAGUGGCCCCGCCCCCGCCCCAGCCCCGCCCCGCCGCCCUCACCUGCGCGCUCCCGUUCGCGUCCCCGAUCGGCAGCUCACCCUAGCUUGGCGGACCCCGGCCGGUGUCCCCGCGUUUUGCGUCCGGCUGCCCCAUUGCAACUUCCGGCUUGCCGGGCCUUUUCGCGGCGCCCCACCUGUCCAGCCCGGGGCGCGGGGGCAAUCGCCGUGAGGAGCAGGCGGGGCGAGGGCACCCCACCCUCGAGUCGGCUUUCGCCCGUGGGGAAACUGAGGCUGCCUGGUCGAAGGCCUCCACGGGGAAGCGCCGAGGCCUCCUCCAUGCCUGGGACCUGGGGGUCUUAAUGAAGGGAGAGUCCACCCUCCCGGGCGAGGAUCCCGAUCCAUGAGGCGCCAACCCCCGCCCGGGCGCCCGGGUCCAGCCUCCCCGGCCGAGGGUCGGCCUCACACUCCCCUGCUUUGGGUGUUUGGUUUUGUUUAAAAAAUGGGACUAUACUAUAUGGUCUACCUGGGUCUUGCCCCCUCUGUGUGGGUGACAUAUAUCUUAGAGAUUGUUCAAAAUAAAAAACAUAGAGAAAAGGA
rnacentral:lncRNA from 10 species